rnacentral:lncRNA from 1 species
AAGAUGAUCCUCUGAUCACAGGUAUGCAAGAAUAAGACAGAGUUAGCUAAAAAUGAAUGAUGUCAAAUAGGAAUCACUUAGAAUAUCUCUAAAAAUGUUUCUAUAGAAGACAACAGAAGGAGACCAAAUUUCCAACUCAAAUGUUCGAUUCCAAAAUUCUGUUGGGAAUCUAAGACCAGAACCAGAGCCAAAUAUAAAGGAGAAAACACUUCUCAAUUUUGGAAGAAAAGGAACAUACAAGUUGGAAUGCUUGAGGUAUCAAAACAAGCAAAAACUCUUGUCAAAAGUAAGGGAUAAUGGGACAAGAGGCAAUUCUGUAAUGGUGG